rnacentral:rRNA from 1 species
AACGAACGCUGGCGGCGUGCCUAACACAUGCAAGUCGAACGGGGUCAGGGGGCUUGCUUCCUGACUUAGUGGCGCACGGGCGAGUAACGCGUGGAUAAUCUGCCCUGGUAUCCGGGAUAACAUUUCGAAAGGGGUGCUAAUACCGGAUAAGCCCACGGGGUUUUUGGAUCUUGGGGGAAAAGGUGGGGACCUUCGGGCCUACCGCAUCAGGAUGAGUCCGCGUACCAUUAGCUAGUUGGCGGGGUAAAGGCCCACCAAGGCGACGAUGGUUAGCUGGUCUGAGAGGAUGAUCAGCCACACUGGAACUGAGACACGGUCCAGACUCCUACGGGAGGCAGCAGUGGGGAAUUUUGCGCAAUGGGGGAAACCCUGACGCAGCAACGCCGCGUGAGUGAUGAAGGCCUUCGGGUCGUAAAGCUCUGUCAGAGGGAAAGAAUUGUGAGGUGGUUAAUAGCCAUUUUACUUGACGGUACCCUCAAAGGAAGCACCGGCUAACUCCGUGCCAGCCGCCGCCGUAAGAC